CGUGUAGGUGGUCCGUUAAGUCGCUGGUGAAAGCCCCUGGCUCAACUGGGGGGAGGUCUAGCGAAACUGGCGGACUUGAGGGUCCGAGAGGAAGGUGGAAUUCCCGGUGUAGCGGUGGAAUGCGUAGAGAUCGGGAGGAACACCAGUGGCGAAGGCGGCCUUCUGGCGGGCAUCUGACACUGAAACGCGAAAGCGUGGGUAGCAAACGGGAUUAGGAUACCCCGGUAGUCCACGCCCUAAACGAUGCAGGCUAGGUGUUGGUGGGAUUUCCCAUCCGUGCCGUAGCGAACGCGUUAAGCCUGCCGCCUGGGGACUACGAGCGCAAGCUUAAA
rnacentral:rRNA from 1 species